CAGCCGCCGCGGUAAUACAGAGGGUGCAAGCGUUAAUCGGAAUUACUGGGCGUAAAGCGAGCGUAGGUGGUUUGUUAAGUUGGAUGUGAAAUCCCCGGGCUCAACCUGGGAACUGCAUCCAAAACUGGCAAGCUAGAGUAUGGUAGAGGGUGGUGGAAUUUCCUGUGUAGCGGUGAAAUGCGUAGAUAUAGGAAGGAACACCAGUGGCGAAGGCGACCACCUGGACUGAUACUGACACUGAGGUGCGAAAGCGUGGGGAGCAAACAGGAUUAGAUACCCCUGUAGUCCCUGUCUCUUAUAC
rnacentral:rRNA from 1 species